AAAAAAGAAGAAGGGGGUUCCCGAAGUUAACCUUAUCGGGAAGAGAAGACACGAAAAGGGGGUUCCAAAGUUAACUUUAUCAGAAGAGAAGACAUGAACCCUGAAGUUAACCUUAUCAGGAAGAGAAGAGGGUUUCCGAAGUUGACCUUAUCGAAACGAGGAGAAAAGGGUCCUGAAGUUAACCUUAUCAGGGAGAGAAGAAGGAGGAUACGGAUUUCCAAAGUUAACCUUAUCGGAAAGAGAAGAAAGGUAUCAUGAAGUUAACCUUAUUAUGAGG
rnacentral:lncRNA from 1 species